rnacentral:rRNA from 1 species
GAAACCGUGUACGUACAAGCAGUGGGAGCCCCACCACUAAGCCAGUGGUGAACUCCACAUACGCAUCCUUUGCUGAGGAUACGGUUAACGGAGCGAAAGCGACGUUCAACCGCAAAAGAAGCAGAGGGGGCUUAGUGGUGGGGUGACUGCGUACCUUUUGUAUAAUGGGUCAGCGACUUAUAUUCUGUAGCAAGGUUAACCGAAUAGGGGAGCCGGAGGGAAACCGAGUCUUAACCGGGCGUUAAGUUGCAGGGUAUAGACCCGAAACCCGGUGAUCUAGCCAUGGGCAGGUUGAAGGUUGGGUAACACUAACUGGAGGACCGAACCGACUAAUGUUGAAAAAUUAGCGGAUGACCUGUGGCUGGGGGUGAAAGGCCAAUCAAACCGGGAGAUAGCUGGUUCUCCCCGAAAGCUAUUUAGGUAGCGCCUCGUGAAUUCAUCUCCGGGGGUAGAGCACUGUUUCGGCUAGGGGGCCAUCCCGGCUUACCAACCCGAUGCAAACUGCGAAUACCGGAGAAUGUUAUCACGGGAGACACACGGCGGGUGCUAACGUCCGUCGUGAAGAGGGAAACAACCCAGACCGCCAGCUAAGGUCCCAAAGUCAUGGUUAAGUGGGAAACGAUGUGGGAAGGCCCAGACAGCCAGGAUGUUGGCUUAGAAGCAGCCAUCAUUUAAAGAAAGCGUAAUAGCUCACUGGUCGAGUCGGCCUGCGCGGAAGAUGUAACGGGGCUAAACCAU